GGCGCAGUAGCUCAGUUGGUUAGAGCGAGCGACUCAUAUUCGCUAGGUCGGCGGUUCGAUCCCGUCCUGCGCUACCA
rnacentral:tRNA from 1 species